GCUCCAGUGGCCCAGUGGUUAGAGCGUCCGCCUCGGAUGCGGGAGGUCGUGGGUACGAACAACGUCCGAGUU